UGGGAUAUGGCUCAGUGGUAGAGUGCUUGCCUAGCAUGCAUGAAACCCUGGGCUCCAUUCCAGUACCACAU
rnacentral:tRNA from 1 species